UACGGGGGGGGCAAGCGUUGUUCGGAAUUACUGGGCGUAAAGGCUCGUAGGCGCCAACUAAGUCAGACGUGAAAUCCCCGGGCUCAACCCGGGAACUGCGUCCGAUACUGGCAGGCUUGAAUCCGGGAGAGGGAUGCGGAAUUCCAGGUGUAGCGGUGAAAUGCGUAGAUAUCUGGAGGAACACCGGUGGCGAAGGCGGCAUCCUGGACCGGCAUUGACGCUGAGGCGCGAAAGCUAGGGGAGCAAACAGG
rnacentral:rRNA from 1 species